CAGAGCUUGGCACUCUUUGGCAGCAGCUGUACUAGAAAGGUCCCUUGUGGCCUGCUUUGCUUUUUUUCUCCCGGGAUGCUGUUUUGGGCGCUGAGGGGGCGGUGAGGCGGUUUAGUGGUAUGGUGUUCUGUUUGGGGUUUGGUUUUUGCUUUGCUGGUUUUCUUCCCCCUUGUGAGAUCAUUUUAUUCGUUUAUCAUUUCACAUUAUCAUUUACCCCGCGCCAUUUCCGUCCCCUCUGGGCAGCAGCGGAUCCGCCGCUCGAGGGCGAGGAGCUGGGCCGACAACGGGCCGCUGCAGACUCUGGUCAGGGGCAACUUCUGUUCCCGAGGUGGUGCCUACAGUACAGCUAUCUCUUUGAAGACAGUUUGGUUUAGGUCAGAGAAUGUUUAGCCUGGACUGAAUCAGCUUCUGUUUCUAUUUCUGGAAAUCAUCGGUCCUGUGCAUAAAGCCCAGGAAAAAGGAAAUAUGAACCAACGUACGUGGGGCCUGCAGGGGUAGGAAAAUAUUUGAGAAGAGGUUCAGUGGGGAAAUGAUUGUUUGUCUGUGGGGCGUCCAGGCAAGCAACCCAGCUGCUAGAAAGCGGCGCUGUCCCCAGGAUGGCCUCGGCGGUCCUGUCAGAGUCGGGGGAACAGGGACAAGGCAGGGUGAAGAAUCUGGCCUGCCGUGUGGAACGUGACUGUACAAAGCACGUGUGAUGCACUGCAAGUUCAUUUGUUUAAACUGUGAGCUAAAGAAGGUGUGCAGUUGCUUUGUAAACAGCCGAUGCUCUAAAGCUACACCCAUCUAAUUGCUAGCUGUAUUAAAUCAUUCGUAUUGCUGUUUCUGCAUUAAAAAAAAAAAAAAAACAACCCAAAACACCCA